UGAGGAAUAUUGCACAAUGGGCGCAAGCCUGAUGCAGCGACGCCGCGUGGGUGAUGAAGGCUUUCGGGUCGUAAAACCCUUUUCUGUGUGACGAGCAAGGACGGUAGCACAGGAAUAAGCCUCGGCUAACUACGUGCCAGCAGCCGCGGUAAAACGUAGGAGGCGAGCGUUAUCCGGAGUUACUGGGCGUAAAGGGCGCGUAGGCGGGAUGGUAAGUCGGUCGUGAAAUCCCUCGGCUUAACCGGGGAACUGCGUCUGAUACUGGAUGGCUUGAGGUUGGGAGAGGGAUGCGGAAUUCCAGGUGUAGCGGUGAAAUGCGUAGAUAUCUGGAGGAACACCGGUGGCGAAGGCGACAUCCUGGACCAAUUCUGACGCUGAGGAGCGAAAGCCAGGGGAGCAAACGGGAUUAGAUACCCCGGUAGUCCCUGAGCGGGCUGGCAAGGCGCAU
rnacentral:rRNA from 1 species